UCGCUAGUAAUCGCGCAUCAGCCACGGCGCGGUGAAUACGUUCCCGGGCCUUGUACACACCGCCCGUCAAGCCAUGGGAGCCGGGGGUACCUGAAGUGCGUAACCGCGAGGAUCGGCCUAGGGUAAAACUGGUGACUGGGGCUAAGUCGUAACAAGGUACC
rnacentral:rRNA from 1 species